rnacentral:rRNA from 1 species
GAUGAACGCUAGCGGCAGGCCUAACACAUGCAAGUCGAGGGGCAGCGGGUGUAGCAAUACAUGCCGGCGACCGGCGCACGGGUGAGUAACGCGUAUGCAACCUACCUUAAACAGGGGAAUAGCCCCGAGAAAUCGGGAUUAAUGCCCCAUAAGAUUGUAGAAGGACAUCCUUCAGCAAUUAAAGCUCCGGCGGUUUAAGAUGGGCAUGCGUGCCAUUAGCUAGUUGGCGGGGUAAUAGCCCACCAAGGCUACGAUGGCUAGGGGGUCUGAGAGUAUGAUCCCCCACACUGGUACUGAGACACGGACCAGACUCCUACGGGAGGCAGCAGUGAGGAAGAUUGGGCAAUAGGGGCAACCCUGACCCAGCCAUGCCGCGUGAAGGAUGAAUGCCCUAUGGGUUGUAAACUUCUUUUGUACGGGACGAAUCCCCUUUACGUGUAGAGGGUUGACGGUACUGUAUGAAUAAGCAUCGGCUAACUCCGUGCCAGCAGCCGCCGUAAGAC